rnacentral:rRNA from 2 species
GUCCCUGCCCUUUGUACACACCGCCCGUCGCUACUACCGAUUGAACGUUUUAGUGAGGUAUUUGGACUGGACCUCAGUUGGUUCGCGCCGACUGUGCGUUCGGGAAGACUCCCAAACUUGAGCGUUUAGAGGAAGUAAAAGUCGUAACAAGGUUACCGUAGGUGAACCUGCGGUAGGAUCAUUA